AAUCUCAAAACUUGUUUACAAUGUAACUACUUGCUAUAACUAACAACCAAAAUAUGAGCACUACUUGCAAGUUAUGUGGGUUUGGCAAUAUUUUUUCCUCAGUGCAUUCAAGCUCUUUAGAGCUGAUAGUCUUUUCUUUUUCUCCUUCUUUAUACAUAUAGCUUCUAACCCUUCAGAUGUCAAAACUGAAAAGGAAGCUGCUGUUUUCAGAAACCAUUAACAUCAAAGGCAUUUGAUUCAGACGCCUGGGCCAAAUUUUUCUUAGUUGUACUAUUGGCAUUCCACGGAUGAUAGAGAGUUUGCACCAGUGAAACUGAGAAGACAAUUUAAGUUGUAAGUACGUGUCAAGUAUGGAGGUCUUUUAACAUAAGCCAUUUGGGAAUAUUCCAUGUACAGAACCAAAGCCUGAUAAACUUCUCAAUAUCUGAAAAACGCCAUUUUAUUAUACUGAACUCAGAGGUCUAAGUGGAAUUUUACCAAAUUGGUCAAAAAACUCUCUUCAGCUAAGAGCAAUCAUUGAAAAACUAAUCCCAACGGUAAGUUUUUCGACAAGUUAUCAGUGCCUGAAAGUAGGAGCUUUUACAGUAGAAGCUGUUUCCUCAACUAAAACUAGCGUUGCUACUAUGGAAUUAUAACCCUUUAAAAAUGUACUUUAUAGCUCCUGAGUUGCUUGCCUCAUACAUCAGCAUGUUCCUUACUGCAUAAAUUACCAUUCUGUGUCUUCUUCACAAUGCUCCUUCUGUAGAAUGUCUUAUAAAGGUGGCCUAUGAAAUGAUUUCUUUUAAAAUUGGACUUGCCUUUUUUGCUCCAUUAUGAUAUAUAAAUGCUUGAAAGGUUGUUUUUACCCUCUCCCCUCUUUUAAAAAAAAAAAAAAAAUUAAAAAAAUCAGUUUUUUAACCUUGGAAAUAUCCACUCUUGCCCUCUGUUUUUUAAGGAGUGUGUUAAAUCUUUAACAGAAACUUCCUUUCUGCAAACUGUCAGUUAGUGAUUAAAUAGGUGUUAACAAACAUCAUUGCUACUGGGUAGCCUGGGUCCAGCCAAGAAUAGGACAAGUGUUCCCUGUAAAGAGUUGCAGGAAGGGUGGCAAGGGGGCGGCGGAAGAGAGGUUGCAGAGGAAGGGACAGUUUCCUGCAGUGGUCCCUGGAGAAAGGAGACUCCAGGUGAGAAGCCUGUAAGUUGUGGCUGGAUAGAGAGCCCCUGUUGGAAGUUUUUCCUUUUGCGAGUUUAUUGGUCAUUUUGGACAGUAAGCAAAGCCUGGAGGCAAGUGCUAAAGACUGAUUUCGACAUGAUUGAUCAUUCUCGAGGCUGGUGAGGAUUGUUGGCAGCUUACAAACAUCUUAAGCAGACUGGUUUAAAAACCUUUUCCCUCUGUCAGUUGUUGGUUUUCAUCAUCCUGCUGCUUAAGACAUUUAAUUGGUUCUCCAGUUAUCAUAGACUGAGUCUACAGUAUUGCCUUGUUUAUACUGGAAAUUGUCCUGUUUCCAGCCAUUAGUGGCCAAGUAUGUAGUUCCUCUUGGCGUAGACAAGGAGAGCCACAAAAGUGAAGCUUACAGUAGUAAUUUCCACCAGAGCGAAUUGUAGCUUUCCUGGUCUAUGCUAAGCUAUUUAGGUAGUUGGAAUGGAGGUACAUUUCCAGUGUACCCACAAGAGUAAAGAAAACUGGAACCUGUAAUUUUUCAUUUGUGCAACUUCACAGGGGUUGGAGGUCUAUCACUCUUUUGUUUUUCCUCCUGCUCAAAAUAGCAUUAAACAGCACAGCAGUGUGUUUAAAAAAAAAAAAAAUCUGUGCUCUCUUCACUACAGCCUCCACUGUUGCUGGUAGGUGUCUUAUAGAGACAAAGCCGUGGAAUCUUGCUGGCCAGACGACUUGAAUUUCUAAUGCAGAAAAUGAGCAGAAUAACUUUUCUUGCAGGGAAGAAACCCUCCCAAACCUUCAUUCCACAUAAUUAAGUAGUGGGGAAAAGUCACCUUCGCAGGUCAUCCUUGCAUCGCCUUGCACUGGAAUUUGUAGGAAGAGAUCAUCCUCUCUAAAAGAGGCUCAAAUAAAUGUGAAAAAAUUAUUCUGUCAUCUCGAUUAAUUAUUAAAACUGUGGACUAAAGACCUACCUGCUGUACUCAAGGGGAAUAUGAAAUGAAAUUUAUGGUUAUGGCCAGGUCUGAAAGCUGGCAAAGGGAAUAUUAAGAAUUCGUAAUAGUGACUGGAACUAGAGCGGCUACUGAUGAAAGAUGAAUGUGCUGUGAAUUGAGAUUCUCAGUAAGUAGUUUUAUGUUCAUCUACACAAUUAUCUAUGUUAAGACUAACAUUUAUGGUGCUAUUAUUGCUAUUAUGAAUUCCAUUCCUUAGCAUAGGUCUAGACAGGGAGACAUCUGAUAGUAGAAAGCUCUCAAAGUUAGCCGGCAAAGGCAUAACCAGAUCCAUCAGCUGGAAGGAGAAGCUAGACAAAUUCAGACUAGAAAUAAGGUGUGGAUAAAAGAGUAAAUGGCAACUUACUAAGAGACUUGGUUGACUCUUGCUCACUUGAUUUCAGAAUUUCUGAAGAUAUGUUUUACUUUAUCAAGAAGUUAUGGGCUUGAUUCAAGAGUUGCUGGGUGAAAAUCUUGGUCUGUGUUACACAGGAGGUCAGACUAGAAGAUCACUGUUGUCUCUUCUGGCUUUUUAAAAUCUUUGAAGCUAUCAUCCCACAUGAUAAAAUACCACGUCCGUUAGGUUUCCUGAUAUUACUUAAGUAUGAAAAAUAUUAGACUUGCUUUUCCCUGUGUUUAACAUUUUGUUGCAUUACCAGCCCCAAGCAGACAAACAAACAUGAAUCAAGACAGCCCCCCCCCCAAAACCUGAGCAGCUUAAAAUUUGUGAAUUUUUUAAAAAAAAAAUGGGGCAGGGUAUUACCUUUCUGGUCUUGGAGCCUUAAGGUUCAUGUUUUCAAGCUUAUCUGUAACCAUGAGAGCUAGAAAUGUGCAUUUUUGAGAGAGGGAGCUGACUCUCACUUAGUCAACUGACUCUGGUACUGGGGCUUUAAGAAAAACACCAAACAUUACAAACCUGGCAGUAAAAUCAGAAGAGUUGACAACACAGCUCUUGAUCUUUUUUUUCCAGUAUUUUCACUGCCAGUAGUACUUGUGGAUCUUAAUUUUUAAUGUUUUAUAGAGAUUUAGCCAUCAUAAAUCACUUUUAAAAAACUAUUGUU